rnacentral:lncRNA from 1 species
CUAUUCCUCUUGAGACAAUCUAUCACUUUCUGAGCACGCAUCGUAUCCUCAAAUCAUGAUGUGUCUCUUAGAGUAUAGAUUGUUCAAAUUCUAGAUCUUAUAAAUGAAGCAUAAAAGAACAGUGUACUUUUUAGUUUCUAAAUAAAUCAAAAAUUUUAUUGAUAAAUGAAAAGAGUUACAUGAGAUAGAUCAAUAAUAAACCAUCUAUUUACAAAGUUCAUCUUUUCAUGAGAUGAUGGAGCCUAGCCACGCAUG